UAAAUUUUCUGCCAAUGCGCUCGCCGCUCCUGCACGUUUCUCUUUCCCGCCAGCGCCGGAGGAGACGUCGGCGGCGGCUCUGGACUAGUGCCUGACGCUGUGCGCGCCUCUUAGACGCCUGCCCGUGGGCAGCGCUCUGUUUAUUGCCGCUUCCUGCGCUUUCUCGUUCAUUUCCUCUUUCUUGAAGUUUUGCCUCUCUUCUUAACCUGACCUUUCCCUCCACCGCGCGUUCAUCUCAUGCCUCGGUCAAAGUCAUCGUCAGAGUUAAUCGGCUGGUUCUCUGAAAGUUCGCCCUCCAUAGACAUCUUUUUUCCUCUUCACUUGGCUCUCCGGAGAAAUUCUUUUCAGAAGUCUCCCGGCUCCCGGUGUUGAAUCCUGCAUCCGAGAGACCGGCCAAGCCCCUGGUGGAAGGGCGGGCGGUGCCGUUCAGCCGGGGCUGCAGGGAGGCGGCGGCAGGAGCGGCCGACGAGGGCGUCUUAUGAGGGACAGGCGGUGGAAGUGUGAACUGGCGCAUACUGACUGUCCGGCCUCGGGGGCCGAGUCCCCUGGCCCCUCAUCCCCUAGCUCCGUGGUAAGCGCAGUGAAGAGAGGAUCUUCAAGCAGACUACCCAUGGAGCACAAGCCUGAGGUGGGUCUGAUCCCACUACCCAUGAGAUCAAAACCAAAACUGAGAGCUGGACACUUAAUCAAGUGAGCCACAUAGGUGCCUCUGAAAGUAGUGAAUAUUAAGAAUAUUAAAGAUAAAGAGAAUUUUUAAAGCUUCCAGAGAGGAAGAAUAUGUUAGUUAUAUAAUGCUGCAUAACAAAUUACCAUAAAUUAAGCAGCUCAAAAACUCCCACACAAUUAUUAUCUCACAAUUUUUGUGGGCCAGAAGUCCAGGCACAGCUAAGCUGACUUACCUGUCUUCAGGUCUCUCACAGAGCUGCAAUCAAGGUAUCGGCCAAGACUGGGGUCUCACGUGAAGGCUCAACUAGUCAAAAAUCCAAAUUCAAGCUCCUAAGGUGGUUGGCAGAAUUCAGUUCGUUGUGACUGUUGAACUAAGAUCCUCACUUUCUUGCUGAUUGUUUUGCCAGAGGUUUCUCUCAGUUCUUUGCUAUGUAGACUACCAAAAAGAUUUUAUCCAGUAACUACUGAUAGUACGAGAAAGAUCUGAAACCCACUCCAAUUUGUGCAGAAGUGAUUGGUUAUUUUAAGAGAGUGUGAGGGAGGGGUGAGUGAAGGCUCAAGCGGGGGGUCAAUGAAGUGAAAAAUUACAAAAGGUGGGUCAGAGUAAAUGCAAUUAGGCUAGCCGUGUCUGCUAGCUGGGAACGAUCAAAGAUAGAAUUCUAUGCCCCCCAGAGACUGGGAGACAGAGGCCCUAUACUUCCUGAUUAUAUCUCAAAGCAGUGACUUUCAGGUCCUGAAAAACACACAUCUGAAUUGUAGAAGAUACAUAUAUAUCUCAAAGAGACAGAGGAAUGAUUCAAAAUUGUAAGCCCUUUUUAGAAAAUGCUAUAAGAGGGAGGCCAGGAACCUUCAUUAGAUAUUGGUUAGAACAGAGAGUAAAUUCUUCUGGUAGUAUAGCGUUUUCUCAGGCAGGCAUUUUAAGGGGUAGUUAAAGUCAUCCUGAGGACACAGCUUUGGUUAUGUUGUUAAAGUCAUACUAGGGUUUGGCUGUCUCCUAGUGCAGAGAUUUGGAUGGAGUCUUUAUGUUCUGAAAGCUCAUCGGCACUCAGAGCCUCCCAAACUGGCAGCUGCUUUACCAAAGUCAAUAAGAAAGAGUCAAAUAGCAAGAUGAAGGUUAUAAUCUUACUUAGCCUAAACAUAGAAUUGAUAUCCCAUCACAUUUGAUGAAUUCUCUUGGUUAGAAGAAAGUCACUAGGCCAGCCUAUACUCAAAAGGAGUUGAUUACACAUGAAUGUGAAUAUUAGGAGGUGGGGAUCAUUGGAGGCCAUCAUGCAGUCACCUACGAAUGAGCAAGCAUUAAAAAAAAUUGUAUUGGCAAAAAAAAAAUUGUAUUGGCAUCGGAUAUCCCGAUAGAACGUUGAUUAAAAAAAAAAAAACAACACUGGAAUUUUGAACUGCUAAAGGACAAUUGAAAAGGUGAAACUAUGGCUCUUAUGCAAAAUUAAAUGAACCCGUGUUUAUGAUUUCACUUAAUUGAUUAAUUAAUAAGGGAACCAUUAGGAUGUUAAAGUAGAUCCAAAACAAAAUCCCAAGAACAGAUAUCUGUUUAGGCAAUCGAUACUGUUUAAAUGCUAAUAGAUAUAAUUUAAUAAUAGGUGUAUAACUGAUCAAUAUCCACAGGGCAAUAAAAUUAAAUGUAAUGUAACA
rnacentral:lncRNA from 12 species